rnacentral:rRNA from 1 species
UCAUAUGCUUGUCUCAAAGCUUAAGCCAUGCAAGUGUAAGUUCACGCCACGCAUUAGAACGGGCGAAACCGCGAAUGGCUCAGGAACCGGACCUAAUCCUCGGGACCGUAAUCCUCCUCGGAGGCGAUGGAUAACUGUGGCAAUUCUAGAGCUAAUACAUGUGACACAGGCCGCGAUCGGUCGACGCGCCGUGGUCGCCUCGCCUCGCGCGCUGGCACCCGCGUCGGCCGUCUUGGGUCGCGGCGCUACAUAUUAGACUGAGACCGAUGCGCGAUUUCCGUCCUCUCGUUUCGGGUUUCGGCUCGUUUCGGGGUCAAGGUCGGCGCGCUCCGCUUUGGUGACUCUGGAUAACUCACUGGUCGAUCGCACGGGCUUCCACGCCCGGCGACGGGUCCCUCGAGGGUCCGCCCUAUCAACUGUCGACGGUCGGUUAAGUGCCUACCGUGGUUACUACGGGUAACGGGGAAUCGGGGUUCGAUUCCGGAGAGGGAGCAUGCGAAACGGCUACCACAUCCAAGGAAGGCAGCAGGCGCGCAAAUUACCCACUCCCGGCACGGGGAGGUAGUGACGAAAAAUAACGACGCGGGACUCUGUCGAGGCCCCGCGAUCGGAAUGAGUACACUUCAAAUCCGUUAACGAGGACCAACCGGAGGGCAAGUCUGGUGCCAGCAGCCGCGGUAAUUCCAGCUCCGGUAGCGUAUAUUAAAGUUGUUGCGGUUAAAAAGCUCGUAGUCCGAACUCGGGUUCGUGGUCGCUCACGCGGCCCCGGGGCGGCGGCGCCAUCGUCCAUCGUUGACUUUGGUCGUCCGUUCGCAUUCCCGGCCCUUUCCGCCGGUGUCAAUCGCUAUUAAGACGGUCGCAGGUCAGCUGGUGGUUGGCGUGGUGCUUGCGCUUUGGGGGGUUCGAGGUGCGGGUUCGCCCAAACUGACUUCUCUUCUUUGCGUUCGUGUCCGGGCUUUCGGGCUCCCUUCUGCUAUGCCCCUGUGUGUCGUCGGUGAUUUCUCCUCCAAGGGUGCUCUUAACCGAGUGUCCGCGGCGGCCGGUACGUUCACUUUGAAAAAAUUAGAGUGCUCAGAGCGGGCUGUUCAAGCUUGCAUACUAUAAGCAUGGAAUGAUGGAAGAGGGCCUCGUCUACGUCUGUCGGUCUCCGUCUACGGCGAGGCAAUGAUCGAAGGGAGCGGUCGGGGCCACUCGUAUUGCGACGUUAGAGGUGAAAUUCUUGGAUCGUCGCAAGACGAACUGCAGCGAUGGCGUGUGGCAAGCACGUUUUCCUCGAUCAAGAGCGAAAGUCGGAGGUUCGAAGACGAUCAGAUACCGUCGUAGUUCCGACCGUAAACGAUGCCGACCGGCGAUCCGCCGGCGUUCGCUUCCAUGACCCGGCGGGUAGCCUGCGGGAAACCAGAGUUCGGUUCCGGGGGGAGUAUGGUUGCAAAGCUGAAACUUAAAGGAAUUGACGGAAGGGCACCACCAGGAGUGGAGCCUGCGGCUUAAUUUGACUCAACACGGGAAAACUCACCCGGUCCGGACACCGGUAGGAUUGACAGAUCGAUAGCUCUUUCUCGAUUCGGUGGGUGGUGGUGCAUGGCCGUUCUUAGUUGGUGGAGCGAUCCGUCUGGUUGAUUCCGAUAACGAACGAGACUCCGGCCUGCUAACUAGUGCGCCGAUGUGAGUGCGGCCUUCGGGUCGUGUGCGGGCUCGUGUGCGAUUUUUGAUCGUGUCUCGUGUCCGGGUCGGUUUCUCACGCACUUCUUAGAGGGACGGGUGGCAGAAAGCCACACGAGGCGGAGCGAUAACAGGUCUGUGAUGCCCUUAGAUGUCCGGGGCCGCACGCGCGCUACACUGGAGGUAUCAGCGGGGACUUCGCCCCGGCCCGAGAGGGUCGGGAAACCUCUCAACCACCUCCCGUGAUAGGGAUCGGGGCCUGUAACCAACCCCGUGAACGAGGAAUUCCCGGUAGGCGCGGGUCAACAGCCCGCGUCGAUCACGUCCCUGCCCUUUGUACACACCGCCCGUCGCUACUACCGAUCGAACGGUCCGGUGAGGUCCUCGGAUCUGGCCGACGACGCCGCCGGGUGAAGGCUUUCGGGUCCCGCCUCGGCGUUCGAUGCCUGGAGAAGACGACCGAACCCGAUCGUUUAGAGGAAGUAAAAGUCGUAACAAGGUUUCC